rnacentral:misc_RNA from 1 species
GAUGAAGAACGCAGCGAAAUGCGAUAAGUAGUGUGAAUUGCAGAAUUCAGUGAAUCAUCGAAUCUUUGAACGCACAUUGCGCCCCUUGGUAUUCCAUGGGGCAUGCCUGUUCGAGCGUCAUUUCAACCCUCAGGCCCCCAGUGCCUGGUGUUGGGGAUCGGCCCAGCCUUCCUGUAAGGCCGCCGGCCCCGAAAUCUAGUGGCGGUCUCGCUGUAGUCCUCCUCUGCGUAGUAGCACAACCUCGCAGUUGGAACGCGGCGGUGGCCAUGCCGUUAAACACCCCACUUCUGAAAGUUGACCUCGGAUCAGGUAGGAAUACCCGCUGAACUUAAGCAUAUCAAUAAGCGGAGGA